rnacentral:rRNA from 1 species
CAGCCGCCACGGGAAUACGAAGGGGGCUAGCGUUGCUCGGAAUGACUGGGCGUAAAGGGCGCGUAAGCGGAUGGCACAGUCAGAUGUGAAAUUCCCGGGCUUAACCUGGGGGCUGCACUUGAUACGUGUUGUCUAGAGUGAGGAAGAGGGUCGUGGAAUUCCCAGUGUAGAGGUGAAAUUCGUAGAUAUUGGGAAGAACACCGGUGGCGAAGGCGGCGACCUGGUCCUUUACUGACGCUGAGGCGCGAAAGCGUGGGGAGCAAACAGGAUUAGAUACCCCCGUAGUCCCUGUCUCUUAUAC